CACCCAUCAAAAACAUCACAGAGGAGAGAAAGCAAAAUAGAGAGGAAAAUGGUUCUGCUAGAUAAAAUGUGGGACGAUGUUCUAGCUGGGCCUCAACCCGAGCGUGGUCUCGGCAAGCUUAGGAAGAUCACCACCCAGCCCUUGACCAUCAAAGAUGACGGAGAAGGGAAAAGGUUCCAGAGGUCGUGGUCGAUACCGAUGAGUCCAGGGGCAACGCCGACACCCGUGACACCGACGACUCCGACGCCGCGUAAGGAGAACGUGUGGAGGAGCGUCUUCCAUCCUGGUAGCAAUCUUGCUACCAAAAGUAUUGGUGCUGAUAUGUACGACAGGCCACAACCUAACUCUCCAACUGUCUAUGACUGGCUUUACAGUGGGGAGACAAAGAGCAAGCAUCGCUGAGUGGCUGGCCACUCACAGGCGGCCUCGGAGAAGGCUGCUCUCGUGAACCAGGGUUGCAUCAUGUGAAUACUCUGUUCUUUUCGAGGUUCAAUAUGCUAAGGUAAAGAAGAAUUGUGGAAAUGCUGUGAUCAUGAUCUAUUUGUUGCCAUUAGAAAUGACAAACUUUGAAAGAUGGCAAGUGCGGUACCGGUGAUGCACAAACAUCAAGUUGAUUUUAAGUAUAAGAUCGCAAAUGAUUUUUAGAAGUGAUGUAAAACUAUAUUUUUAAAAUAUUGUUUACAAAUAUAGUUUAAAAUUCUAUCGUUAAA